UACGGGGGGGGCAAGCGUUGUUCGGAAUUACUGGGCGUAAAGGGCUCGUAGGCGGCCAACUAAGUCAUACGUGAAAUCCCCCGGCUUAACCUGGGAACUGCGUCUGAUACUGGGAGGCUAGAGUAUGGGAGAGGGAUGUAGAAUUCCAGGUGUAGCGGUGAAAUGCGUAGAUAUCUGGAGGAAUACCGGUGGCGAAGGCGGCAUCCUGGACCAUUACUGACGCUGAGGCGCGAAAGCUAGGGGAGCAAACGGG
rnacentral:rRNA from 1 species